UACGUAGGGUGCAAGCGUUACUCGGAAUUACUGGGCGUAAAGCGUGCGCAGGCGGUUUCGUAAGUCUGUCGUGAAAUCCCCGGGCUUAACCUGGGAAUGGCGAUGGAGACUGCGAGGCUAGAGUUUGGCAGAGGGGGGUAGAAUUCCACGUGUAGCAGUGAAAUGGGUAGAGAUGUGGAGGAACACCGAUGGCGAAGGCAGCCCCCUGGGUCAAAACUGACGCUCAUGCACGAAAGCGUGGGGAGCAAACAGG
rnacentral:rRNA from 1 species